GUCUUAUUGUAACCUAAAUAAUAAGUCUAGCCUGCCCAAUGAAAUUGUUUAAUGGCCGCGGUAUUUUGACCGUGCGAAGGUAGCAUAAUCAAUAGUCUAUUAAAUGUGGUCUGGUAUGAAUGGUUUGACGGGGGAUGACUUUCUUAAUUCUAUUGUUGAAUUUUAAGUGUCAGUGAGAAUGCUGACAUAUUGAAAAGGGACGAGAAGACCCUAUAGAGCUUUAUAUAUACUCAAUUUUAUUGGUAAUUGUGUUUGAUGAUAAUAUUUUGUUGGGGCGAUGAUAAAUAAUAAACAUUUAUGGGUGUUACUAAUAUAUUAGGCGAAAUUGAUCCAUUAAUAAUGAUUAAUAGGCUAAGUUACCUUAGGGAUAACAGCGUAAUUUUAUUUUAGAGUUCUUAUCGACAAUGAAGUUUGCGACCUCGAUGUUGGAUUAGGGUUUCUUUGGGACGCAGGAGUUUCAUAAGAUGGUCUGUUCGACUAUUAAAAUCCUACA
rnacentral:rRNA from 1 species